UACAGAGGCCUCGAGCGUUAGGCGGAAUCACUGGGCUUAAAGCGUGUGUAGGUGGAUGCCUAAGUACCUUGUGAAAUCCCACGGCUUAACCGUGGAACUGCUUGGUAUACUGGGUGUCUUGAGCCACUCAGGGGCUACCGGAACAAAUGGUGGAGCGGUGAAAUGCGUAGAUAUCAUUUGGAACGCCAAUGGUGAAAACAGGUAGCUGGGGCUGUGCUGACACUGAGACACGAAAGCCAGGGGAGCAAACGGG
rnacentral:rRNA from 1 species